UUCUUCACCCAUGGGUAGUUUUGUGGCUGAGGGCACUAUAAACGAAAGACAUUCUAAGGUCCUCUGAGCAGGCUGCACCAUGGUCAAGCCAUCGUGACCCCUGUGACCCACAGAAGGUCUCCUGGAGCCAGAAAGUCUAGGACAACAGGAAAACCACAAAAGAAGAAAAACGGCUAGUUCCUGUCUUAGCUGAUUAGCCAACCUUGCAACAUUCUGUCAUUGUAACAGGCUUACCCUAACUGAUCAAUCAACCUCGUGACACUGUGCUCUGUAACCUUGUGAUAAUGUACCUUAUGACAUUCUUCCCCUGCCCGCAAUAAACGGCUCCUAACUGUAACUUUCCGGUGCUUACCUCUAACUGAUAAAACUAGCUCCAACCCACCACCCUCCACUGACUUCCUUCGCACUCAGCCCACUCGCACCCGGGUGAAUAAACAGCCUUUGUUGCUCACACUUAGCCUGUUCAAGUUGUCUCUUCAAUUAGAUGCUCGCAUAACAUUUGGUGCCGAAAGCCCGGGAUAGGGGAACUCCUCCGGCAGACCUCUCCUCUAUCCUCCCGGUACCCACGUUCUCCCAUGCAAGAGACUUCCCUCGCCCUCAGGACCUCAGACCAGCUCCGCGAGCACUCCGGCCUCUGUCUAUGGAUAUGCAUAAAAAGACAGGAAUGUAAGGUCCUCUGAGCAGGCGGCGCCAUGGUCAAGCCAUCGUGACCCCUGUGACUCACACGUACACAUCCAGAAGGUCUCCUGGAGCCAGAAAGUCUGGGACGACAGGAAAACCACAAAAGAAGAAAAACGGCUAGUUCCUGUCUUAGCUGAUCAGCCAACCUUGUGACAUUCUAUCAUUGUAACAGGCUGUACCCUAACUGAUCAAUCAACCUCAUGACACUGUGCUCUGUAACCUUAUGAUAAUGUACCUUAUGACAUUCUUCCCCUGCCCUCAAUAAACAGCUCCGAACUAUAACUUUCCACUGCUUACCCCUAAAGUAUAAAACUAGCUCCAACCCCACCACUUCCUUUUCGGACUCAGCCCACCCGCACCCAGUGAAUAAACAACCUUGUUGCUCACACUUAGCCUGUUCAGGGUGUCUCUUCAAUUAGACGCACACAUAACAGACAGAUUAACAAGAAAAACACAUACAGAUUAAUUUAAUAUAAAUUUUUUUUUAUUAUACUUUAAGUUUUAGGGUACAUGUGCACAUUGUGCAGGUUAGUUACAUAUGUAUACAUGUGCCAUGCUGGUGCGCUGCACCCACUAACUCGUCAUCUAGCAUUAGGUAUAUCUCCCAAUGCUAUCCCUCCCCCCUCCCCCCACCCCACCACAGUCCACAGAGGGUGAUAUUCCCCUUCCUGUGUCCAUGUGAUCUCAUUGUUCAAUUCCCACCUAUGAGUGAGAAUAUGUGGUGUUUGGUUUUUUGUUCUU
rnacentral:lncRNA from 10 species